UAAUUGAAGAGUUUGAUCAUGGCUCAGAUUGAACGCUGGCGGCAGGCCUAACACAUGCAAGUCGAACGGUAACAGGGAGCAGCUUGCUGCUCUGCUGACGAGUGGCGGACGGGUGAGUAAUGUCGUGUAUAGAGCGUGCUGUAGUUGGAUAACCUGUGGUAUGGG
rnacentral:rRNA from 1 species